rnacentral:rRNA from 1 species
GGCCUUGCGCUCUUUGAGCGGCCGAUGUCAGAUUAGCUAGUUGGUGAGGUAAAGGCUUACCAAGGCGACGAUCUGUAGCGGGUCUGAGAGGAUGAUCCGCCACACUGGAACUGAGACACGGUCCAGACUCCUACGGGAGGCAGCAGUGGGGAAUUUUGGACAAUGGGGGCAACCCUGAUCCAGCCAUGCCGCGUGAGUGAAGAAGGCCUUCGGGUUGUAAAGCUCUUUCGGCCGGGAAGAAAUCGCAUGGGCCAAUACCCUGUGUGGAUGACGGUACCGGAAUAAGAAGCACCGGCUAACUACGUGCCAGCAGCCGCGGUAAUACGUAGGGUGCGAGCGUUAAUCGGAAUUACUGGGCGUAAAGCGUGCGCAGGCGGUUUUGUAAGACAGGCGUGAAAUCCCCGGGCUUAACCUGGGAACUGCGUUUGUGACUGCAAGGCUAGAGUACGGCAGAGGGGGGUGGAAUUCCACGUGUAGCAGUGAAAUGCGUAGAGAUGUGGAGGAACACCAAUGGCGAAGGCAGCCCCCUGGGUCGAUACUGACGCUCAUGCACGAAAGCGUGGGUAGCAAACAGGAUUAGGUACCCUGGUAGUCCACGCCCUAAACUAUGUCAACUAGGUGUUGGGUGGGUAAAACCAUUUAGUACCGUAGCUAACGCGUGAAGUUGACCGCCUGGGGAGUACGGCCGCAAGGUUAAAACUCAAAGGAAUUGACGGGGACCCGCACAAGCGGUGGAUGAUGUGGAUUAAUUCGAUGCAACGCGAAAAACCUUACCUACCCUUGACAUGCCAGGAACUUGCCAGAGAUGGCUUGGUGCCCGAAAGGGAGCCUGGACACAGGUGCUGCAUGGCUGUCGUCAGCUCGUGUCGUGAGAUGUUGGGUUAAGUCCCGCAACGAGCGCAACCCUUGUCGUUAAUUGCCAUCAUUUAGUUGGGCACUUUAACGAGACUGCCGGUGACAAACCGGAGGAAGGUGGGGAUGACGUCAAGUCCUCAUGGCCCUUAUGGGUAGGGCUUCACACGUCAUACAAUGGUCGGUACAAAGGGUUGCCAAGCCGCGAGGCGGAGCCAAUCCCAGAAAGCCGAUCGUAGUCCGGAUUGCAGGCUGCAACUCGCCUGCAUGAAGUCGGAAUCGCUAGUAAUCGUGGAUCAGCAUGUCACGGUGAAUACGUUCCCGGGUCUUGUACACACCGCCCGUCACACCAUGGGAGCGGGUUCCGCCAGAAGUAGGUAGCCUAACCGCAAGGGGGGCGCUUACCACGG